rnacentral:rRNA from 1 species
AUUGAACGCUGGCGGCAUGCCUUACACAUGCAAGUCGAACGGCAGCGCGGGGCAACCUGGCGGCGAGUGGCGAACGGGUGAGUAAUAUAUCGGGAACGUACCCUGGAGUGGGGGAUAACGUAGCGAAAGUUACGCUAAUACCGCAUACGAUCUAAGGAUGAAAGUGGGGGCUUCGCAAGAACCUCAUGCUCGUGGAGCGGCCGAUAUCUGAUUAGCUAGUUGGUAGGGUAAAAGCCUACCAAGGCUUCGAUCAGUAGCUGGUCUGAGAGGACGACCAGCCACACUGGAACUGAGACACGGUCCAGACUCCUACGGGAGGCAGCAGUGGGGAAUUUUGGACAAUGGCGCAAGCCUGAUCCAGCAAUGCCGCGUGAGUGAAGAAGGC